GAUGAACGCUGGCGGCGUGCCUAAUACAUGCAAGUCGAGCGAACGGACGAGAAGCUUGCUUCUCUGAUGUUAGCGGCGGACGGGUGAGUAACACGUGGAUAACCUACCUAUAAGACUGGGAUAACUUCGGGAAACCGGAGCUAAUACCGGAUAAUAUUUUGAACCGCAUGGUUCAAAAGUGAAAGACGGUCUUGCUGUCACUUAUAGGUGGAUCCGCGCUGCAUUAGCUAGUUGGUAAGGUAACGGCUUACCGAGGCAACGAUGCAUAGCCGACCUGAGAGGGUGAUCGGCCACACUGGAACUGAGACACGGUCCAGACUCCUACGGGAGGCAGCAGUAGGGAAUCUUCCGCAAUGGGCGAAAGCCUGACGGAGCAACGCCGCGUGAGUGAUGAAGGUUUUCGGAUCGUAAAACUCUGUUAUUAGGGAAGAACAUAUGUGUAAGUAACUGUGCACAUCUUGACGGUACCUAAUCAGAAAGCCACGGCUAACUACGUG
rnacentral:rRNA from 1 species